UUGGUUUGUUUUUUUGUUUGUGUGUUUGUUUGCUUGUUUAUUUGCUUGCUUCCUCCAGGGUCUAAUUGGUCAACGUGGUUUGCCCGGUGCUGGUGGUGGUGGUGGAACGAAGGUGAGUUUAACGGACGCAUACUGUCACAGUAAUAAUAAUAAAUAAUGGAUUUUAUUUGUAUAGCACACUUUAAAAUACAAAGAAAUCUCAAGGUGCUUAACAUAGUAUAGACAGUCACAACAACAAUAAUACAAAGGAAUAGAAGUGCUAAUGAGGUGCAGAAAAUAAGAUAAUAUAAUAUACCAAAAAAGAUAAUAAAUUAAUUUAAAAUAAUUCAUAAGAUUAUAAUGAGAUCGAAUAAUAUGUAUUAAAAACAGAGUAAUUAGCGUGAGUGUGUGUCGAAAGGGAUGGUUGAUCAAAGUCCACUGGCUAUAUGGUAAACAUGAGACCACAGGACAGAACAGCUGUUUCGGACUCAAGGCAACAUGAGACUGUUUGCUUGGAAUGUAAGGAUAAGGCUAUAGAAGAGGCGUGCAUGGCAUUUUGCUUUGUUUAAUGGAGCCAAAAGAUGCAGAGAGAUAGAAAAAUAUACAGAUAGAGAUUGAAGUUUAGAAAGAUUAUAGAUUGAAGAGGGGUGGGAAAAAUCCGGCUUUGAGUGCAAAGUUCCCUUUCUGGGAAAUGGAAUCAGUUUCCGCAGUGCUUUCCCUCAUGCAAGCAGCGAGAAGGAAGCGCUGUCCAAGGUUCUGGAAUGGUGAGCUGCCUGUUAUAGUGCAGUGCCAUAGUGAGAGACUGGGAUUUGAGAAACAUUUGACUGAGAGUUGAGCGAAACUAUUCAUGCGUUUUUUGUUAUUUGCAUUUUGUAUAAUAAGAGACAUAAUUGUAUUUAUGAAGCGCGAGAUAAUGACCAGUUCAAAUAUCUCUAUGUGUCUCUCUUCUUCUGCCUCUCUCCUCUGUUUUAACCUCUGCAUUUCUCUCACUCCACCUCUCUGCAUUUUUCUCUCCCUCUCGCUCUCUUUUCUUAGGGUCUUCCUGGUCCAGAUGGUUUGCGAGGCCCAAAUGGAGAGGCUGGUCCGAAGGGUGAGCCUGGUAUUGAUGGAGGGCCAGGAAAGAAGGGUGACAGGGGUCCCACUGGUGAGCCAGGCUCUUCUGGAAAAGAUGGCAAUAGAGGCCCAUCGGUAA
rnacentral:lncRNA from 1 species